rnacentral:rRNA from 1 species
CAGGUGCAUGCCUUUAGCAUGAAGUCAGACAAGUGAACC